rnacentral:lncRNA from 1 species
AAGAAAGUAAAAAGCCACAAGGAAGUCAACUGCUACAAAUAAAAGAGAUGAAAAGCAUCCAACACACAGCAAAAACCAGAAUCAGGCUCCAUUGUGACAUCAGGGACUAGGACUGAUAAAAACGCUGACCUCUGCCUAGGUCUGCUCAGUGGGCAGGGUAAGAGACCACUGUAUAACCUGGAAAUGGGUCAGGCCACCCACUGGCAUGGAGGCUUCCUUCCAAUGCAUACUAAUAACAAAGAUGGCAGGCAUGGAGAUUACAGAAAGCUUCUCUCACUGGUGCAUGCCUGGAGGAAGGAAAAGCUCCUUUCCAAAGAAAAACCAGGAAGCCAGCUAGACCCUAGCCCUUAUAAAACAGAAGUCUUUAGCCCCUGGAGGAGCAUGUAGCAAACUAUUGCUCCCAGAGCACAGUGGAAGAAGACUUAUUACAGCUGAGAAAUGGAUAGAUAAAAAGGAACCCUAAAUUGCAGAUGAUGCCAGAUACGUCUGCCAAAAUGUUGGAUUUUUCUCUGUGAUGUCAGGUUUUAG